rnacentral:rRNA from 1 species
GAUGAACGCUGGCGGCGUGCCUAAUACAUGCAAGUAGAACGCUGAAGGAGGAGCUUGCUCUUCUGGAUGAGUUGCGAACGGGUGAGUAACGCGUAGGUAACCUGCCUGGUAGCGGGGGAUAACUAUUGGAAACGAUAGCUAAUACCGCAUGACAACAGUUAUUGCAUGAUAACUGUUUAAAAGGGGCAACUGCUCCACUACCAGAUGGACCUGCGUUGUAUUAGCUAGUUGGUGAGGUAACGGCUCACCAAGGCGACGAUACAUAGCCGACCUGAGAGGGUGAUCGGCCACACUGGGACUGAGACACGGCCCAGACUCCUACGGGAGGCAGCAGUAGGGAAUCUUCGGCAAUAGACGGAAGUCUGACCGAGCAACGCCGCGUGAGUGAAGAAGGUUUUCGGAUCGUAAAGCUCUGUUGUAAGGGAAGAACGAGUGUGAGAGUGGAAAGUUCACACUGUGACGGUAUCUUACCAGAAAGGGACGGCUAACUACGUG